rnacentral:lncRNA from 1 species
UUUUUUAGUACUUAAAUGGUCCCACAUGGACACAUCAUCAAUUUAUUAUUUUUUUAAUAAUAGUACCUAAUAGGUACUCAACCCCUCCAAUGAAGCAUUUCUUAAAAAGUUCUAAAAUGGGUCCCAUCAAUAACUUCACAUCAUUACAAUAUAUUUAAUUAUCUAUUUUAUAAUAUAAAUUGAUUGAAUUAAUGAUAAAAUUACAAAAUUAG